rnacentral:rRNA from 1 species
GGGCCUAGGUUGCUGUGGUUAAGCUCGUAGUUGGAUCUCGGCGGUCUGAGGGCGGUUCGCUUGAUUGAGUGCUACUGCUCUAUAGGCCGUGGUUUUGCCAGAGGUCUCGGGGUGCUCUUAACCGAGUGUCCUGCGAUGCUGGCAGGUUUACUUUGAAAAAAUUAGAGUGCUCAAAGCAGGCUUUUACGCCUGAAUAUUCGUGCAUGGAAUAAUAGAAUAGGAAGUCGUUUCUAUUUUGUUGGUUUUCGGAAAUCGACUUAAUGAUUAAUAGGGACAGUCGGGGGCAUUUGUAUUCAAACGACAGAGGUGAAAUUCUUGGACCGUUUGAAGACAAACUACUGCGAAAGCAUUUGCCAAGAAUGUUUUCAUUAAUCAAGAACGAAAGUUAGAGGUUCGAAGGCGAUUAGAUACCGCCCUAGUUCUAACCAUAAACGAUGCCAGCUAGCGAUCUGCCGACGUUUUCUUUGUAGACUCGGCAGGAAGCUUCCGGGAAACCAAAGCAUUUGGGUUCCAGGGGAAGUAUGGUUGCAAAGCUGAAACUUAAAGGAAUUGACGGAAGGGCACCACCAGGAGUGGAGCCUGUGGCUUAAUUUGACUCAACACGGGAAAUCUCACCAGGCCCGGACACUGGAAGGAUUGACAGAUUGAUAGCUCUUUCUUGAUUCGGUGGGUGGUGGUGCAUGGCCGUUCUUAGUUGGUGGAGUGAUUUGUCUGGUUAAUUCCGAUAACGAACGAGACUCUGUCCUGCUAAAUAGUGUCCGCCUCUCUUUUGGGCAGACAAUUCUUCUUAGAGGGACUGGCAACUCUUAGUUGCACGAAAAAGAGCAAUAA